CUGAAACGCUGGCGGCCGUGGCUAAGGACAUGCAAGUCGAACGGGCUUGGGAGCAAUCCCAAGUCAGUGGCGGACGGGUGAGUAAUGUAUCGCUUAACGUGCCCCGGGGCCCGGGGAUAGCCGGCCGAAAGGCCGGGGUAAUACCGGACGUAGACCACGGGAGGGCAUCCUCCUGUGCUCAAAGGGGAAAACCCACCCCGGGAGCGGGGCGAUAUCGUAUCAGCUGGUUGGCGGGGGGUAACGGCCCACCAAGGCGACGACGCGUAGCUGGUCUGAGAGGAACGGCCAGCCACAUCGGGACUGAGACAACUGCCCGGACUCCUACGGGGGGCUGCAAGUAAACGAAUCUUCCGCAAUGCACGAAAAGUGUGACGGAGCGACGCCCGCGUGUUGGGACGAAGUCCUUCGGGAUGUAAACCACUGUCAGGGAGUACCAAGUUCUGAGGACCUCCCAGAGGAAGGCACGGCUAACUCUGUGCCAGCAGCCGCGGUAAAGACAGAGGUGCCGAGCGUUAGGCGGAAAUCACUGGCUUAAAGGCGUGUUGUAGGCGGGUCGUUUAAGUGUCUUGUGAAAUCCCACCGCUCACCGGUGGAACGGCUGGGCAUACUGGCGACCUUGAGAGGCCUAGGGGGCAGACGGAAACAAGCGGUUGGAGCGGGUGAAAUGCGUAGAUAUCGCUUGGAACGCCGGAACGGCGAAAGCAGUCUGCUGGGGGGCCUUCUGACGCUGAGACACGAAAGCCAGGGGAGCGAACGGGAUUAGAUACCCCGGUAGUCCUGGCCCUAAACGAUGUCCACUAGGUCACGGGUCCUUUUGACGGGACUCGUGGCCGAAGCAAAAGUGCUAAGUGGACCGCCUGGGAAGUACGGUCGCAAGGCUAAAACUCAAAGGAAUUGACGGGGGCCUCACACAAGCGGUGGAGCAUGUGGUUUAAUUCGAAGCAACGCGCAGAACCUUACCUGGGCUUGACAUGCUUGGAUUACCCCGGUGGACGCCCGGGUACGCCCCGCAAGGGGUGGAAACAAGUACAGGUGCUGCAUGGCUGUCGUCAGCUCGUGUCGUGAGAUGGUCCGGGUUAAGUCCCUUAACGAGCGAAACCUUUGCCCUUAGUUACCAGCGGGUCAUGCCGGGGACUCUAAGGGGACUGCCGGUUGUCAAUAAACCGGAGGAAGGUGGAGGAUGACGUCCAAGUCCUCAUGGCCUUUAUGCCCAGGGCCACACACGUGCUACAAUGCGGCCGUAAACAAAGCGACCCCUAAGCCGCGAGGCCCAUGGAAAUCGCACAAAACCGCCGCCCAGGUUCAGGGAAUCGGUAAGGCUGCAACCCGCCCCCGUGAAGUUGGAAAUCGCUAGUAAUCGCGGAUCAGCUACGCCGCGGUGAAUGUGUUCCUGAGCCUUGUACACACCGCCCGUCAAGUCAUGGGAGCCGGGAACGGCCGAAGUUGUCACACCACAGUGAUACCUACGCCGGGCUCGGUGGACUGGGGACU
rnacentral:rRNA from 1 species